ACGCUUAUGCGUUGUUGGGUAGGGGAGCGUUCUGUAAGCCUGCGAAGGUGUGCUGUGAGGCAUGCUGGAGGUAUCAGAAGUGCGAAUGCUGACAUAAGUAACGAUAAAGCGGGUGAAAAGCCCGCUCGCCGGAAGACCAAGGGUUCCUGUCCAACGUUAAUCGGGGCAGGGUGAGUCGACCCCUAAGGCGAGGCCGAAAGGCGUAGUCGAUGGGAAACAGGUUAAUAUUCCUGUACUUGGUGUUACUGCGAAGGGGGGACGGAGAAGGCUAUGUUGGCCGGGCGACGGUUGUCCCGGUUUAAGCGUGUAGGCUGGUUUUCCAGGCAAAUCCGGAAAAUCAAGGCUGAGGCGUGAUGACGAGGCACUACGGUGCUGAAGCAACAAAUGCCCUGCUUCCAGGAAAAGCCUCUAAGCAUCAGGUAACAUCAAAUCGUACCCCAAACCGACACAGGUGGUCAGGUAGAGAAUACCAAGGCGCUUGAGAGAACUCGGGUGAAGGAACUAGGCAAAAUGGUGCCGUAACUUCGGGAGAAGGCACGC
rnacentral:rRNA from 1 species